rnacentral:misc_RNA from 1 species
GAUGAAGAACGCAGCGAAAUGCGAAAAGUAAUGUGAAUUGCAGAAUUCAGUGAACCAUCGAAUCUUUGAACGCACAUUGCGCCCGCUGGAACUCCGGCGGGCACGCCUGUCCGAGCGUCAUUUCAACCCUCAGGCCCCCCUUCGCGGGCGGGCCUGGUGUUGGGGCCCGGCCGCUACCCUGCGGCCGUCCCCUAAAUUCAGUGGCGGCCUCGCCGUGAUCCCUUGCGUAGUAAUGCACCUCGCACCGGAGAGCGCCGUGGCCACGCCGUAAAACCCCCAAUUUUCAAUGGUUGACCUCGGAUCAGGUGGGAAUACCCGCUGAACUUAAGCAUAUCAAUAAGCGAGGA